UAUUGGACAAUGGGGGCAACCCUGAUCCAGCCAUGCCGCGUGAGUGAUGAAGGCCUUCGGGUUGUAAAGCUCUUUUGGCGGGGACGAUGAUGACGGUACCCGCAGAAUAAGCCCCGGCUAACUUCGUGCCAGCAGCCGCGGUAAGACGAAGGGGGCUAGCGUUGUUCGGAAUUACUGGGCGUAAAGCGCGUGUAGGCGGUUUUCCAAGUCGGGUGUGAAAGCCUUGGGCUUAACCCAAGAAAUGCACUCGGUACUGGAAGACUAGAGGACCGGAGAGGAUAGUGGAAUUCCCAGUGUAGUGGUGAAAUACGUAGAGAUUGGGAAGAACACCAGUGGCGAAGGCGGCUAUCUGGACGGUUCUGACGCUAAGACGCGAAA
rnacentral:rRNA from 1 species